rnacentral:ribozyme from 1 species
CUCUAGCUAUUUUGCGCAUGAUUUCUGGUUGGUUGGGCGACAGCCUAAAAAAGGAUAGCUCCUCC